rnacentral:rRNA from 1 species
CUAAAACGUCCGUAGCCGGUUUUGUAAAUCUCUGGGUAAAUCCUGCCGCUCAACGGUAGGAAUUCUGGAGAGACUGCAAAACUAGGGAUCGGGUGAGGCGAGAGGUACUCCUGGGGUAGGGGUAAAAUCCUGUAAUCCUGGGGGGACGACCGGUGGCGAAAGCGUCUCGCUAGAACGACUCCGACGGUGAGGGACGAAGGCUAGGGGAGCAAACCGGAUUAGAUACCCGGGUAGUCCUAGCUGUAAACGCUGCCCACUUGGUGUUGCCCUUUCCUCGGGAAGGGGCAGUGCCGGAGCGAAGGUGUUAAGUGGGCUGCUUGGGGAGUAUGGUCGCAAGGCCUGAAACUUAAAGGAAUUGGCGGGAGAGCACCGCAACGGGAGGAGCGUGCGGUUUAAUUGGAUUCAACGCCGGAAAACUCACCAGGGGAGACCAUGGUAUGAGUGUCAGCCUGAAGAGCUUACACGAUUACAUGGAGAGGUGGUGCAUGGCCGUCGUCAGCUCGUACCGUAGAGCGUUCACUUAAGUGUGAUAACGAGCGAGACCCUUGCCCAUAUUUGCCAACUUCCUCGCGAGAGGGAGAGCACUAUAUGGGGACCGCUAGCGUUAAGCUAGAGGAAGGAGAGGUCAACGGCAGGUCAGUAUGCCCCGAAUCCCCUGGGCAACACGCGCGCUACAAAGGACGGAACAAUGGGUUGCAACUUCGAAAGGAGGAGCUAAUCCUGAUAUCCGUCCGUAGUUCAGACUGAGGGCUGUAAU